UACGUAGGGGGCGAGCGUUGUCCGGAAUCACUGGGCGUAAAGGGCGUGUAGGCGGGUUUGCAAGUUGCGGGUAAAAACCCAGGGCUCAACUCUGGGGGUGCCUGCAAAACUGCGGACCUUGAGGGCGGGAGAGGAGAGUGGAAUUCCCGGAGUAGCGGUGAAAUGCGUAGAUACCGGGAGGAACACCAGUGGCGAAGGCGGCUCUCUGGACCGCACCUGACGCUGAGGCGCGAAAGCUAGGGGAGCGAACGGG
rnacentral:rRNA from 1 species